rnacentral:lncRNA from 1 species
UUGGCCCCUAUUACGUAUGUAGUGUGGGAGAUUAUUUCAGAGCAUUUACCACAUGGAAACUUCAGAAAAAAGCGUGCUCUUCACUUGAUUGGCAGCAGCCCUUUGGAAGAGCAGGGAUUGUUUCCCCCGUCUCUUUUUUCUUUUUCAUCUGGCUUUAAAAGUAGAGGUAGAUGGUUUAGCUCACAGUUUGUAUUCAAACUGCAGAAUAGCCCUGGUGCCACAACCAACGUGACGCAGAGACUGAAAGAUCCCCUGAAGAAUCUGACUUUCGUGGAAGACCAAUUCCGAACGGGUGCUUCCUCCUCGAGGCGCUCACAAACACAGAGAACAUACUUCACGCACGAAUAGGAGCCAAGAGUAUCUUUGUUUGCAGAGAGUCGCCUUGUUUUUCUUAUCUUCAGAAUGAGGCGAGGUCAUUCCGUCGUUCACAUCCCUCAGAAAUAACUGCUUAAAUAACGUUUAAGAUACAUCUGCUCUUGCAUACACCCCAGAGGGGAAGGGUUCGGGGGCAGAAAGGGAAAAGAGGAAAGGAGAAAAGCCCGGCGGCUGGAAAACGAUGACAUCAUCAAGCGCCACAGGAAAGAGCAAACAGAUUCCAGCACCUCGGGCGACAGCAGGAGCCAGCAGGUCAAGAACAGGAGUUCAGCCUUCGGGUACGGGCGGCCCCGUUACGGUGCCUGGAAGCAGAGGAAUUUGCAAGGACCUAACCGUUUCAGAAGAGGGUUUGGACAGCAACAAUACAAUAGGAGACAAUUCAGGAAUACUUUGCCUGGUCGCAAGAGAAGAGCAGCUGCUGCCUUCAAUGGAGUGAGCCCUUUAAAUCGCCAGGCAUCAGCUCAGGAGGGCAACAAGAACAGCAAUGCUUUUGCCAAAAGCAGCAGCAGGCAGCAGAAGGACCAGGCACAGCCAUCUCCAGGCCCCAAGAGAUUCAGAGCAGAUGCUGCCAGCACCCAGACCCCAGGGAAAAGGCCUUUCCGGCUAAACAGGGGACCAGCGUUCCAGCAGAAGCGGGCGCAGCAGUGGUUCUCCAAAGCCCGCUUCCAGAGAGGGCAGAUGGAUGCUCAAGGAGAAGGGAAACCGCCAAGGAUGAGAAGGUGGCAAGUGAAACCCAGCCCGGGAGCAAUUCUGACGGUUUCUGUGGUUAAUCCCCAGGCGGGCCAGAGCAGCGGGCCUGGAUCCAAGCGCCCGUUCCUGCGAAGCCAGAGACCCCCAGCACGGGUGACCAAGCCCCAGCCCAAGGGGGUGAUGCUGAGAUUCAACUUCCGUGCCAUGGCCAACCAGACCAGCCUGACGCUGGAUGAGAGGUUCUCUGGUCUGAGGAAUAAGAGGCGCUUUACAGCAGCCAGGAGCGCCGGACGGACGGUCACCAUGCCCUAGGACAGCGUGCUCGCCACAGGGACUGCCCCCAACAGUCCAGGCCCUGGCAGGGGCUCAAUAAAAGUUGCUAGAUUCCCUUUGAGAUAGCUGAU